CAGCAGCCGCGGUAAUACGGAGGAUCCAAGCGUUAUCCGGAUUUAUUGGGUUUAAAGGGUGCGUAGGCGGCCUAUUAAGUCAGGGGUGAAAGACGGUAGCUUAACUAUCGCAGUGCCUUUGAUACUGAUGGGCUUGAAUACACUUGAGGUAGGCGGAAUGUGACAAGUAGCGGUGAAAUGCAUAGAUAUGUCACAGAACACCAAUUGCGAAGGCAGCUUACUAAAGUGUCAUAGACGCUGAGGCACGAAAGCGUGGGGAUCAAACAGGAUUAGAUACCCCCGUAGUCCCUGUCUCUUAUAC
rnacentral:rRNA from 1 species